GUCCGUGUGGCGCAGUAGUAGCGCGUCUCCCUCCGACCUCUGAUAGGAGAAGGUUCAGGGGUGCAGAUCCCCUCUCGGAUA
rnacentral:tRNA from 1 species